rnacentral:rRNA from 1 species
GAUGAGCGCUGGCGGCGUGCCUAAUACAUGCAAGUCGAGCGAACAGACGAGGAGCUUGCUCCUCUGAUGUUAGCGGCGGACGGGUGAGUAACACGUGGAUAACCUACCUAUAAGACUGGGAUAACUUCGGGAAACCGGAGCUAAUACCGGAUAACAUGUUGAACCGCAUGGUUCAACAGUGAAAGACGGUCUUGCUGUCACUUAUAGAUGGAUCCGCGCCGCAUUAGCUAGUUGGUAAGGUAACGGCUUACCAAGGCAACGAUGCGUAGCCGACCUGAGAGGGUGAUCGGCCACACUGGAACUGAGACACGGUCCAGACUCCUACGGGAGGCAGCAGUAGGGAAUCUUCCGCAAUGGGCGAAAGCCUGACGGAGCAACGCCGCGUGAGUGAAGAAGGUCUUCGGAUCGUAAAACUCUGUUAUUAGGGAAGAACAAAUGUGUAAGUAACUAUGCACGUCUUGACGGUACCUAAUCAGAAAGCCACGGCUAACUACGUG